UAACAAGGAUUCCCUCAGUAACGGCGAGUGAACAGGGAACAAGCUCAAAGUUGGAAUCUAUCUGGCUUAGCCAGAUCGAAUUGUAAACUUUAGAGUCGUUGUCCAGACCAGCCGAGUAAAUAAGUUCCUUGGAAUAGGACAUCAUGGAGGGUGAGAAUCCCGUCUUUGGCUUGAGCAUUGGUCUUUUGUGAUGCGACUUCAACGAGUCAGGUUGUUUGGGAAUGCAGCCUUAAUUGGGUGGUAAAUCUCACCUAAAGCUAAAUAUUGGCGAGAGACCGAUAGCGAACAAGUACCGUGAGGGAAAGAUGAAAAGAACUUUGAAAAGAGAGUUAAACAGUAUGUGAAAUUGCUAAAAGGGAACCGUUUGAAGUCAGUCUGGCUGGUCUGCAAUCAGCUUCAACUUUGGUUGGAGUGCACUUGUAGGCCAUUUUGCCUGCCAACAACAGUUUGUUCUGCAGCAAAAAGGUGUUGAGAAUGUAGCUUUCUCUUUGGAGAAAGUGUUAUAGCUCUUCGCGAAAUACUGUGGUUCAGACUGAGGCUUGCAGUGAAUGCUAUUUUGGCUUUGGGGAUGGAUUGCUCAGUGCUUUGCUUGGUUAGUUUUCGGCCGUCAAACGUCGCGCUGGCUAAAUAAAGUCUGACUCGGUUCAUUCACUUUUAAUUCACUUUGGAUGAUGGCUUAAUGA
rnacentral:rRNA from 1 species